rnacentral:snRNA from 1 species
GUGCUCACUUUGGCAGCACAUAUACUAAAAUUGAAAUGAUAUAGAGAAGACUAGCAUGGCUCCUGCACAAGGAUGACAUGCAAAUUCAUGAAAAGGAAGAACAAAGU